CGAUACGGGACUCAUCCGAGGCCCCGUAAUCGGAAUGAGUACACUCUAAACCCUUUAACGAGGAUCAAUUGGAGGGCAAGUCUGGUGCCAGCAGCCGCGGUAACACCAGCUCCAAUAGCGUAUAUUAAAGUUGUUGCGGUUAAAAAGCUCGUAGUCGAAUUUGUGUCCCGCGCCGCCGGUUCAUCCUCGCGGUGUCAACUGGCGUGUCCGCGGGACGUCCUGCCGGUGGGCUUAGCUCUUGUCGGGCGGCCCAAUCUCAAUCCCACCGCGGUGCUCUUUACUGAGUGUCGAGGUGGGCCGGCACGUUUACUUUGAACAAAUUAGAGUGCUUAAAGCAGGCUAAAACAUCGCCUGAAUACUGUGUGCAUGGAAUAAUGGAAUAGGACCUCGGUUCUAUUUUGUUGGUUUUCGGAACCCCGAGGUAAUGAUUAAUAGGAACGGAUGGGGGCAUUCGUAUUGCGACGUUAGAGGUGAAAUUCUUGGAUCGUCGCAAGACGGACAGAAGCGAAAGCAUUUGCCAAAAACGCUUUCAUUGAUCAAGAACGAAAGUUAGAGGUUCGAAGGCGAUCAGAUACCGCCCUAGUUCUAACCAUAAACGAUGCCAGCUAGCGAUCCGCCGACGUUCCUCCGAUGACUCGGCGGGCAGCUUCCGGGAAACCAAAGCUUUUGGGAUCCGGGGGAAGUAUGGUUGCAAAGCUGAAACUUAAAGGAAUUGACGGAAGGGCACCACCAGGAGUGGAGCCUGCGGCUUAAUUUGACUCAACACGGGAAACCUCACCAGGCCCGGACACCGGAAGGAUUGACAGAUUGAGAG
rnacentral:rRNA from 1 species